UACGUAGGAUGCGAGCGUUGUCCGGAAUUAUUGGGCGUAAAGAGCUUGUAGGCGGUUUGUCGCGUCUGCUGUGAAAAUCCGGGGCUCAACCCCGGACUUGCAGUGGGUACGGGCAGACUAGAGUGUGGUAGGGGAGACUGGAAUUCCUGGUGUAGCGGUGAAAUGCGCAGAUAUCAGGGGGAACACCGAUGGCGAAGGCAGGUCUCUGGGCCACUACUGACGCUGAGAAGCGAAAGCAUGGGGAGCGAACAGG
rnacentral:rRNA from 1 species